rnacentral:tRNA from 3 species
GAUACCGUAGCCAAGUGGCAAGGCUCUGGGCUGCAACCCCAGGAUCAUAGGUUCAAAUCCUAUCGGUAUCUCCA